GUAGGUGAACCUGCGGAAGGAUCAUUAUACGUUUAUCCAACGUACCAACCAACGCGAAUUCGUUUUCUGUCUGUGCGCAGCUUUUUGAGGCGAUCAAAAUAUGGUGGGAGCGAAGGCAGCAAUGCUUUUUGUUCUGUUUGAUCGUCGGGCGUGUUUUAUUUUUAGUCUUUAUUGACAAAAGAAGAAAACACGACAAAAGCUGACUGUGCAUGGCAACCAUUUUUAUUCAACAUUUACAAACGCAUUGUAAUCACUUGUACUAAACUUAAAACAUCGUCUUUGCAUGCAGUAAAGAGGGAUUUAUUUCUCUUCUUGCCGCGAGCAUCGAUCGAACAAAGACAUUAAUUGCUGAACAACUCUUAGCAACGGAUAUCUUGGUUCUC
rnacentral:misc_RNA from 1 species